UGAUAAUAGAGUGAGUGAGCUCAGAAACUGACUGGGAAUAAAACAUCUGAGAUCCCCCAAGGAUCAGACAGACAGAGAGCGACCAAACAAUCAACAGAGGCGGUGCUGGAGAGAGACACAUGGGGAUAGGCACAAACCUGUUCGUACAACCUUAAAAUGUAAAACAAUCGACUCACAAAUCAGCUUUAAAAAGGAACUGCAACUUCAAGAGAAGAGGAGGACAGAGGAAAGAAGCUGGUUGUCUCCAGGAGUCAGCAGCCACAGGUGGGCAAGACGUCCCUAUGUCUGUGGAGGCGUGAUGGACGAUAGGGCAUGACGCAGCUGGGGUAGGUCUUUAUGUCACAGUCACCAGCAGAUAUGAAAAUACUGUACAUCUGUUUGUCCACAUUCCAUGGGUAGAAGAAAAAAAAUAACUCCUAGUUUUGAUACGCCAAAAAUAGUUACACCAGCUACAUGGGUCUCAAGCUUGUAUGAUGGCGAGACAGGGUCAGAGUCAGAGUGGGUUUACAUCAGGAUUGGCAAAGGAAGGUAUUGUUGCUUCAGAACAGGUAAAAGUAGGUUCUAAAAUCAAUUAGACCAAUAAGCAAAUCACUGCAUACUCGGAGACAGACAAAUUACCGUGGCGACCCCAGAAGGCUACAUAUACAGUAGGAAGUCCUGUGCAUUUAUUCUUCUUCAGAUUCCCAUCUUGGUUGACCAUAUCCAAAUUCAAUCAGUAGUAGUAGCAGUUGUCCAUUAAACUCCAGCCUGUUGAUUUUCUGCCAAGCAAAACGUCACAAGCAAAUGCACCUGAGCCCCAUAUAGUCAUCUGGUAAGGUUGUGGGGUAGGGGAGGUGCGUGUGUGUGUGUGUGACCCCCCAGUGAUGCUCUGCCUUUGAGAAUCAUCCCAGGCCAUAGGUUGCUAGGUGAGCGCGCAAUGAUGACCCUCCCGAAAUGCCCCCAGCGCUGCCCCAUCUUGCACAUGUCCACACACAGUUUUAAAAGGGAGCUUGCAGUUAAUGAUAGCAAAUAAAGAAAAGUAAACAGCGGGCGGCUAACGAGAGCUAAUUCGGUUCGGCGCUCCGUUAUGAAUUAAUGAAGAGAUCACUUGGAUGCCACAGCAACACUGCGGAGGAACUGACUUGUGAGAGGCCCCUAAGAGCUAGUAAUCAUUUUAGGGCUUUCUGUUGUCUGGAAACAUGGCUAUGACAUAAUAGGCCCCCACUAUAUAUCUCGACUUAUCUUCCUAUAUCUACUUUGUUAUGCACAAUCUCAUUUGGUGUCUUCUCUCUACCUCUUAACAGUUUUGUCAUAGUCUGUCGGCCAUGGUGUGAUGCCCAGAUUGUGAAAUGACUGGUCUAAUUGCUGUCUGUCACAUCAGGUUCAGACUGGCUCAGGUUUGACUCUCCUUGAUUUGCACAGUGCCCGCUUCAUCAUCAAGAUCUGCUGCAGUUAUAGAAAGAAUCGCCAGCUGAGUCUAGUAGUACCUUUUAAAGAAAAACACUUAGAGGUGGCUUAAUUUUCCAAAAUAAUAAAUAGCAUGUUAUUGUUUUUUAAUGUGUAUGAAGAGAUGGGAAUCUAGGAUGGAUAUUCUAGUUUUACCAAACUUUCAUUUAUACUUCUUAUCAAAAAGGUUUGUUUUCUUAGCCCAGCAUUUAUUUACUUAUUCAAAUAUGAACAUGUGCAUAUU